rnacentral:rRNA from 1 species
GAAUCUGCCUUCGGGUUGGGGACAACCACUGGAAACGGUGGCUAAUACCCAAUGUGCCGCAACGUGAAAGAUUUAUCGCCCGAAGAUGAGCUCGCGUCUGAUUAGCUAGUUGGUGGGGUAAAGGCUCACCAAGGCAACGAUCAGUAGCUGGUCUGAGAGGAUGACCAGCCACACUGGGACUGAGACACGGCCCAGACUCCUACGGGAGGCAGCAGUGGGGAAUUUUCCGCAAUGGGCGAAAGCCUGACGGAGCAAGACCGCGUGAGGGAGGAAGGCCCUUGGGUUGUAAACCUCUUUUGUCAGGGAAGAACACAAUGACGGUACCUGACGAAUCAGCCUCGGCUAACUCCGUGCCAGCAGCCGCGGUAAUACGGAGGAGGCAAGCGUUAUCCGGAAUUAUUGGGCGUAAAGCGUCCGCAGGUGGCUUAUCAAGUCUGCCGUCAAAGACCGGGGCUUAACCCUGGAAAGGCGGUGGAAACUGACAAGCUAGAGUGCCGUAGGGGUAGAGGGAAUUCCCGGUGUAGCGGUGAAAUGCGUAGAGCUCGGGAAGAACAUCGGUGGCGAAAGCGCUCUACUGGACGGCAACUGACACUCAGGGACGAAAGCUAGGGGAGCG